rnacentral:misc_RNA from 1 species
GGACGAUGGCGAAACUGCAUGAGGCAAUUCAUGCAAGUCCCUCGUCC